GGUGAUAUGUCUCAGUGGUAGAGCCUUGGUCUAGAAUGCAGAAAGACUUGGGUUCAAACCCUAGAGUCACCA
rnacentral:tRNA from 1 species